rnacentral:rRNA from 1 species
UACGUAGGGGGCAAGCGUUGUCCGGAAUCAUUGGGCGUAAAGAGCGUGUAGGCGGCUCGAUAAGUCUGCUGUGAAAGUCCAGGGCUCAACCCUGGAAGGCCGGUGGAAACUGUCGGGCUAGAGUCCGGAAGAGGCGAGUGGAAUUCCCGGUGUAGCGGUGAAAUGCGCAGAUAUCGGGAGGAACACCAAUGGCGAAGGCAGCUCGCUGGAACGGUACUGACGCUGAGGCGCGAAAGCGUGGGGAGCAAACAGG